AGCUUUGCGCAGUGGCAGUAUCGUAGCCAAUGAGGUUGAUCCGAGGCACGAUUAUUGCUAAUUGAAAUAUGAGCUUUCAUCUUGGCCUGGAAAGAAUCAUGUUGGUCAAAGCUUAGCUUCUACUGCAUAGGAAAUAAGUUCAUGCCUGCUUGCCUUGUAAGAAG
rnacentral:snRNA from 1 species